GGGUGGUAAUGCCGGAUGCUCCAGCUGAUCGCAUGGUCUUCUGGGAAAGCCUUUGCGGCAUGGGAUGGGGUCGCGUCCUAUCAGCUUGAUGGCGGGGUAACGGCCCACCAUGGCUUCGACGGGUAGCCGGCCUGAGAGGGCGACCGGCCACAUUGGGACUGAGAUACGGCCCAGACUCCUACGGGAGGCAGCAGUGGGGAAUAUUGCACAAUGGGCGCAAGCCUGAUGCAGCGACGCCGCGUGAGGGAUGGAGGCCUUCGGGUUGUAAACCUCUUUUGUUAGGGAGCAAGGCAUUUUGUGUUGAGUGUACCUUUCGAAUAAGCACCGGCUAACUACGUGCCAGCAGCCGCGGUAAUACGUAGGGUGCAAGCGUUAUCCGGAAUUAUUGGGCGUAAAGGGCUCGUAGGCGGUUCGUCGCGUCCGGUGUGAAAGUCCAUCGCUUAACGGUGGAUCCGCGCCGGGUACGGGCGGGCUUGAGUGCGGUAGGGGAGACUGGAAUUCCCGGUGUAACGGUGGAAUGUGUAGAUAUCGGAAAGAACACCA
rnacentral:rRNA from 1 species